GGGAAUUUUCUCAUUUUGGGCUCUGGUGGUGUCUCCUCCUCCGGCCGAGCCCUCCAGCCCAGCCCAGCAGCCGGGGCCACCAGCUCCACCCUCACCUCGCGCCUUCUUCAACCAAAAGCUGCUUUUUUUCCCCCAUUUUUUCCCCUUUCCUUUUCCCAAGCUGGGGCAGCGGGGCUGGGGGGGUCGCUCUCCAUUUCUGCAGCGAGAAUUUGGGGCGGUUUGGGUGGGAUUUGGGGAGCCCCGGGGGAGGAUCCGGGGCUGGCGGAGAGUUGGGAUUGGUGCUGGAGCCACCAGGAGCGCUCCUGGCUGGAAUUCCUGAUGGAAUUCCUGAUGGAAUCCCUGGUUGGAAUUCCUGGCUGGAAUUCCUGCUGGAAUCCCUGGUUGGAACUCCUGGCUGAAAUUCCUGAUGGAAUCCCUGGCUGGAAUUCUUGAUGGAAUCCCUGGCUGGAAUUCCUUCUGGAAUCCCUGGUUGGAAUCCCUGGUUGGAAUUCCUGGCUGGAAUCCCUGGUUGGAACUCCUGGCUGAAAUUCUUGAUGGAAUCCCUGGUUGGAAUUCCUGGCUGAAAUUCCUGGCUGGAAUUCCUGAUGGAAUUGCUGGCUGGAAUCCCUGGUUGGAAUUCCUGAUGGAACUCCUGGCUGGAAUUCUUGGUUGGAAUUCCUGUUGGAAUUUCUGGUUGGAAUUCCUGAUGGAACUCCUGGCUGGAAUUCUUGGUUGGAAUUCCUGGU
rnacentral:lncRNA from 1 species